rnacentral:rRNA from 1 species
UAAAGAGUUCUAUAACUCCCAAACCCAUGUGAACAUACCUAACGUUGCCUCGGCAGGUCGCACCUACCUUGUAGCACCCUACCCUGUAGGGCCUACCCGGGAGGUGCGGGUAAGCCUGCCGGCGGCCCACCAAACUCUGUUUGAUAUUGAAUUCUGAACCUAUAACUAAAUAAGUUAAAACUUUCAACAACGGAUCUCUUGGUUCUGGCAUCGAUGAAGAACGCAGCGAAAUGCGAUAAGUAAUGUGAAUUGCAGAAUUCAGUGAAUCAUCGAAUCUUUGAACGCAUAUUGCGCCCAUUAGUAUUCUAGUGGGCAGGACCGUUCGAGCGUCAUUUCAACCCUUAAGCCUUCGUUGCUUAGUGUUGGGAGCCUACGGCAACGUAGCUCCUCAAAGUUAGUGGCGGAGUUGGUUCACACUCUAGACGUAGUAAUUUUUUAUCUCGCCUAUUAGUUGGACUAAUCCCCUGCCGUAAAACCCCCAAUUUAUCAAGGUUGACCUCGAAUCGGUUCAGACAAACUCGCUAAAUUGAAGCAUCUUAGUCAGCGAAGGAAAAGAAACCAACAGGGAUUGCCCUAGUAACGGCGAGUGAAGCG